UGUUUCCAAACCUAUCAACACAUAAAGGAGGAAAACCUAAAAAAACAUCUCCGCCGCUAUCCACGGACCACUCCUCCCCUCGCCCCUCACCGCAACCAUCUCACCUGCCUUCGCCUGCAGCCUCGCCGACCCGAACUCCCUCCCCCAUCGGCCCUCCUCCAGCUUCUCCACGCGGCCUGCGAUCGCGUACCCUUCGGAACAGCGUCCCCUCGAUGGGGAACUUUGUCCGGUUAUUCUGUCGUGUCUACUGUGGCCGUGGUCUCUGCCGUCAUCCUCAUUGCCUCUGCCCUUGUUUAUGUUGUCGCCCUCGUCGCUGAUGUCCGUGUUGUUACCUCUAUCGUCGAUCAUCUCUGUUGACUCUGUGAAGUACGAGGAUUGCUAGAUGUCUUCGAUGAGGGGAUUUUUUUCAGGAAUGCUAGAUGUCUUCGAUGAGAGUUUUCAGCUUGGUGAAAAGAAUCCACUCAUAGUUCUUGAUCUGUCACAUAACACUUGAGACAUGAUUGUUAUGAGUUAUACGUGGAAGAAAGAAGUAAAUGGAAGAAUUAUUUUUCCAAUACAUCUUCUAGAGGUUGUCUUACCACUAACAUAUGCUAUGUCUCUCACUUAUCAUAUCAUAGAUGCUGAUUGGAAGCAGCAGUUAAAAAGUCAGAUCUCUAGUCACUUAGGUUAUAGGAAAAACAGUUGAGAAGUGCUUAAUUGGUCGGGGAUUCAGAGGGUUUUUUCCACUCAUCCUGGAUAAUGCAAGCUCAAAUAUCUUGGGAUUCUAUAUGUGAAAAAAGAGACUUGAACUCUUGAAACUCUCUAGUAUUGAGAGGUGAAUUACUCCACUUGAGGUGUUGUGCUCAUGUAUUGAGUUUGAUUGUAAGAGAAGAGAUGAAAGAUAGAAAUGAUUCCAUGGUUAGAACAUCGUGUGGUGUGUGAGGUCUUCUCAUGCUCAGAUUAGAUGGCUUAGGAGUUGCAUUGAGCUAGAGAAUCUUGAGUACAAGAGUUUUGUCCGUUUGGAUAUUGAGAAUGUUGGAACUCAACACAUAUGAUGUUGGAUCCAGAUUUGGCGUAUUGGAAAUUCAAGAUAGCAAACUUGCAGACCUUUCCAAAGCAAAAGUUAUAUCACUAGUAAUGAUUGCGUGUCUAUGGGAUUGAUGAUUGAUGGACAUUGUGAGAUUGAGGAAUAAAGAAUGCACAAAAUGGCCAAGAGAAUGAAGACCAAAUUCAAUAAGUAUUUUGGUAAUGUGAACAACAUUCAUCUUACUUUAUUCAUUGCUUACGUGCUUGACCCUCGACAAAGUGGAAAUAUGUAAGAUGAUUGAUAUGAAAGUAAGCAGGCAGAGACAUUAGGAGAUAAAAGUAACAUCUCUGAUGUUAUUGUUCAAGCAAUACCACAUUGGUAUAUGCCCCCAAAGCAACAAAUAAGGGGUUGAGGUCAAAAAGUAUGAGUAUUAUAAGCCUAUCAAAGUUUCUUGUAGUUGGUGAUGACAUUGUGACGGCGAAGUACUGUAUCCAAAUGGGAUGACAAAGUUUGGAAAAAAAAUCUGAAUUUAAUAAUUGUUCAAAGAAAGCAUGAGAAGUUAUGGGCCCAACUUUGAUAUCUUAAAUUAGUGGAAGUGAAUGCUUCGAGAUAUCCUAUUCUCUCUUUCACUGCUCAAGACAUAUUGGAUGUGCCCGUCAACUAUAGCAUCAGAGGCCACAUUAGUAUGAGAGGUUUUUACGUAGCUCCUUGAGCCUGAGUGUGGUAGAACUCUAUAUGUGUUCAAGAUUAUAUAUAAUAUAUGCCAUUCACUUUCAAUUGAGGAUGACUUGGAAGACCUUGAAAAUUUUGAAUCAGAGUUCUCAACUCCGAUCAUGGAGCCAAACUCAAUGGUAGUUUCUCUUGAUGACUAAUGAAGUUGCGGAUUGGUACAUUUAAUCCCAUUUCUUAUUUUCAUUAUGAAUUUAGUUCUUGGUUCAAUAUAUACUGGUGGACUAUGGUCAUUUGCUUUCAUUAGUAUUUCUGCGUCACCAUUUAUUGUUGGUUAUCUUCAAUGGUUUGCACGUGUGUUUUUACAGUGGGUUAAAGACUUGCUCAAUGAACACUGGCUCUUUAGAUACUUGGAACCAGAAAACUGUCAGUUGCCAUACUUUGAGAACAGUGCCUUGUUUUGAUUUUUUUAGUGAUGACUGAUGGAUAUAGCUCUGAAGUCGUCUUCUUUGGUUAUGAUAUCAGGAAAAGGAAGAGCUUAAACAGAGAAUCGAAUCCCGUUUCUCAUUAAAACAAAAUCCCAGGCGGUGCAACCAAAAUGUCUGGAGCAAUGGAAGAGAAGUAGGAUAUCUUGAAGAAUUUACUUUCCACCAAUUCAACAUAUCAAAGUCAAGGCUGUGACAUUCACAUGCGUCAUCUAAAUACUAUCCAAUUCAGAUUUUUCUUUCAGAUUGUGUUGUCCCAUUUGGCAAAGGCACUUCGCAGUCACAAUGCCAGUACCAACUAGAGGAAUCUUUGACACGCAUAUCAUCCUCGUACCUUUUUACCUCAACCCUCACUUGUUGCUUCGAAGGCACGCCAAUUUGGUAUUGCUCAAAUGGCAACGUUGGAGAUGUUUUAUCUUGUAAUGUUUCUAUCAGCUAACUUUCAUAAACAUCAUUGAUUAAAUGUCUCACAUAUUCCCACUUAUGUUGAGGGUCAAUUAUGGAAGCAAUGAACAGAGUAAGAUUGAUGUUGUACAUUGCUAAAAUACUUACUGUAACUGAAUCUGGUCUUCGUUAUCUGGUCA